UAAACAGGCACAAAGCCAAGGUUGGCGAUUCACAGCCACCUGGAGGGUGUUAUUUAAACAGGCACAAAGCCAAGGUUGGUUAUUCACAGCCACCUGGAGGGUGUUAUUUAAACAGGCACAAAGCCAAGGUUGGUUAUUCACAGCCACCUGGAGGGUGUUAUUUAAACAGGCACAAAGCCAAGGUUGGCGAUUCACAGCCACCUGGAGGGUGUUAUUUAAACAGGCACAAAGCCAAGGUUGGUGAUUCACUGCCCCCACACCUUGUGACCUCGAUGGAAUUAUGUGAUCCUUCCUUAACCCACAGGAUGUCCUGCCCAGUUGACUACUUCAAAAUGGUGAAAGUCCUCAAUGUUACUGUCCAUGCUAAAACAGGCUUUUGGGCACACUAAAAUAGAUAGAGGACUAUCUAUCUAUCUUGAUAGGACUUAUAGGCUGUCUCCCAAAUGGGCCCUGGUCGAAAGUAGUGCACUACAUAGGGAAUAGGGUGCCAUUGGCCAUAGGGCCCUGGUCGAAAGUAGUGCACUACAUAGGGAAUAGGGUGCCAUUGGCCAUAGGGCCCUGGUCUAAAGUAGUGCACUACAUAGGGAAUAGGGUGCCAUUGGCCAUAGGGCCCUGGUCAAAAGUAGUGCACUACAUAGGGAAUAGGGUGCCAUUUGGGACCCAAACAUGGACUUACAGGUGUUGGUGUAUGUAUACUUCAUAUCUAAGAGACAAUCGUAACCCAAGACUCGUCUGGAGCUGCGUUCAACUGGACUUUUUUUCUUCCAUUUUUGUCGGAAUUGAAAAAAAUAAAUGCAAAGAGAGGAACCUUCUGUACCCUGAGGUCAUAGUUCAUCCUUUACCCUGAGGUCAUAGUUCAUCCUUUACCCUGAGGUCAUGGUUCAUCCUUUACCCUGAGGUCAUAGUUCAUCCUUUACCCUGAGGUCAUGGUUCAUCCUUUACCCUGAGGUCAUGGUUUAUCCUUUACCCUGAGGUCAUAGCUCAUCCUUUACCCUGAGGUCAUAGUUCAUCCUUUACCCUGAGGUCAUAGUUCAUCCUUUACCCUGAGGUCAUGGUUUAUCCUUUACCCUGAGGUCAUAGUUCAUCCUUUACCCUGAGGUCAUAGUUCAUUCUGUACCCUGAGGUCAUAGUUCAUCCUUUACCCUGAGGUCAUAGUUCAUUCUGUACCCUGAGGUCAUAGUUCAUCCUUUACCCUGAGGUCAUGGUUCAUCCUUUACCCUGAGGUCAUAGUUCAUCCUUUACCCUGAGGUCAUGGUCCAUCAUUUACCCUGAGGUCAUAGUUCAUCCUUUACCCUAAGGUCAUAGCUCAUCCUUUACCCUGAGGUCAUAGCUCAUCCUUUAUCCUGAGGUCAUAGCUCAACCUUUACCCUGAGGUCAUAGCUCAUCCUUUACCCUGAGGUCAUAGCUCAACCUUUAUCCUGAGGUCAUAGCUCAUCCUUUACCCUGAGAUCAUAGCUCAUCCUUUACCCUGAGGUCAUAGCUCAUCCUUUACCCUGAGGUCAUAGCUCAUCCUUUACCCUGAGGUCAUAGCUCAUCCUUUACCCUGAGGUCAUAGCUCAUCCUUUAUCCUGGGCUCAAGUUGGAAGUUGUCCCUAGACACAAAGAUCAGUUUAACGUUGGCCACUUUCCUCUAAAGCAAUGCACUGUGGGACCAGGGUUGGGGUUGGGGGGGAGAGAGUCGAUUGCAUCCCAAAUGGCAUCCGAUUUCCUAUAUACGGUCAACAGUAGUGCACUACAGAGGGAAUAGGGAGACAUUCUGGUCUAAUGUAGUGCACUACUGAGGGAAUAGGGUGCCAUUCUGGUCAACAGUAGUGCACUACAGAGGGAAUAGGGUGCCAUUCUGGUCUAAUGUAGUGCACUACAGAGGGAAUAGGGAGCCAUUCUGGUCAACAGUAGUGCACUACAGAGGGAAUAGGGAACCCUCUGGUCAACAGUAGUGCACUACAGAGGGAAUAGGGUGCCAUUCUGGUCUAAUGUAGUGCACUACAGAGGGAAUAUGGAGCUAUUCUGGUCAACAGUAGUGCACUACAGAGGGAAUAGCGAACCCUCUGGUCAACAGUAGUGCACUACAGAGGGAAUAGGGUGCCAUUCUGGUCAACAGUAGUGCACUACAGAGGGAAUAGGGAACCCUCUGGUCAACAGUAGUGCACUACAGAGGGAAUAGGGUGCCAUUCUGGUCUAAUGUAGUGCACUACAGAGAGUAGGGUGUAAUUUGGGACGCCGACGGGGUCUUCCACCACCUCUGUUGUUUUGUAAAUCUGUAUUUGGCACUUUAUCAGACGGACCCACCCUGCUGCAUAUCUGCAUUAAAUAUUUAACAAUAAAUAUGUCUGCUAAAUGUAGAUAGAAUAAC
ensembl:lncRNA